rnacentral:misc_RNA from 1 species
AAGUCGUAACAAGGUUUCCGUAGGUGAACCUCGACGGAAUGACAUUCAAUAGAAUUAGGCUUCGCGGCCAAGUUCUCACCCUUUGUAUACCGGAACCAUGUUGCUUUGGCAGGCCCCUGCAUUUCUCGGGCCUGCCAGAGGUUAUAAACCCUAGAAUCUCUGCUGUCUGAGUACUAUGCAAUAGUUAAAA